rnacentral:rRNA from 1 species
AUGGCAGCGUCGAGGUGCAGCACCACCGUCGUCUUGCUCGUCGUGGUCACGGUGGCGGUGGUGGUGGCGGCGGCGCUGAUGCAGCCGGCGGAGGCGGCGACGAGGCGCCGCGCCGACACCCGCGUGCUCUGGUACCCGGGAACCAGGCAGCGUAGCCCCAGCGGCUUCCGUGGUUUCCCUCGCUCCAGGCUGUCGCCGCCGUCCGCGGGCAGGCUAACCCCGCCGUCGCCCAGCGGCAGGCCGAUGACGCCGCCGCCGUCUCAGGCGCAGGCGCCGCCGGCGCCCAUCUCGCCCCCGUGCACCGCCGCGAACCCGCAGCCCGGCUUCCCCGGCUUGCCGGUGGGCUUCGGAGGGUCGUCGCCCUCGCCGCCGUUGGCGCCGACGGACUGCGUGACGCCGCUGGCGGGGCUGAUGACGUGCGCGUCGUUCCUGACGGGGAGCGAGGCGGAGACGCCGACGCCACAGAGCGAGUGCUGCGGCGGGCUGGGCAUGUUCCUCAACAGCUCGGCGGCGGCGGACGACCGGUCGCUGCGUUGCCUGUGCCCGGUGAUCCUCGGCGACGUGAACCGCAUGCUCCCCAAGCCCAUCGACCCCGUCCGCAUGAUGUACCUCCCCAUCGCCUGCGGCGUCGUCCUCCCGCCCCAAGUCCUCUUCAUCUGCUUCACUGGGCAGCCGACGCCGCCGGUGGUGAACCGGAUUCCCGACUCCUGGAAGACCUCGUCUUCUUCAGCCUUGUCGCCUUGA